UAGAGUUUGAUUAUGGCUCAGAACGUACGCUGGCGGCACGCCUUAUACAUGCAAGUCGAACGAAGUAGCAAUACUUAGUGGCAGACGGGUGAGUAACAUGUGGGUAUCUUCCCUUUGGUGAGGAAUAACACGAGGAAACUUGUGCUAAUACCUCAUAAGUCUUUACGGAGAAAGCUUUAUGCGCCGAUGGAUGAGCCCGCACUUGAUUAGUUUGUUGGUGGGGUAAUGGCCUACCAAGACUUUGAUCAAUAGCUGAUCUGAAAGAUGAUCAGCCACAUUGGGACUGAGACACGGCCCAAACUCCUACGGGAGGCAGCAGUAGGGAAUAUUGCACGAUGAGGAAACUCUGAUGCAGCGAUGCCGCGUGAGGAAGAAGGCCCUUGGGUUGUAAAGCUCUUUCGUCGAGAAGAAAAUGACUGUACCCGAAUAAGAAGGUCCGGCUAACUUCGUGCCAGCCGCCGCGGUAAUUCA
rnacentral:rRNA from 1 species